CUUUGACUAAUUUUAGACAGGAAGUAUCUUUUCUGUGUCCCUUGCAGGCAUGAAGAACAAUUUCUAAACUCCUCUGGAAAGCGACAGUUAAAACAAUCUGUGAGCCCAGAUGUCUGAAAGUGAGAAAUCGUAGCUGUGGCAUCUGGAUCCUCCACAGACUCCAAAAAGACACAUAGAAGCUCUUCAAAAAUCUUUCAGUUCUGCAAGCCUUCGUUAUAGAAUCACACAAUCAUAGUGGCUGGAAAGAAUCUCUGGAGAUCCUCUAGUCCAAUCCCCUGCUAAAGCGAGUUCCCUACAGUAGGUUGCACAGGAAAGCAUCUGGGUGGGCUCUGAGUAUCUCCAGAGAAGGAGACUCCACAACCUCUCUGGGCAGCCUGUUUCAGUGCUCUGUCACCCUCAGACUGAGUAAGAUCUUUUUCAUAUUCAGAAUUCAUCCAUUAAAAAGAAAAACUAUAAUAAAAAAAUAUAAAAUUGCUAAAUUGCUAAGGGAAAGGUUAAGCUAAAGAAAAAAGAUUUGGUCUAGCUUUAUAUUGUCAGCAUGCACAUAGAUCUCUAAAUUGGACUGGUGCACAGAACCACAGAUAAGACCCUCAAAUGACUCACAGAAUAGGCAGACACAGGUAAAGGUUGCUGAAAUAUAAAGGUUUUGUUCCAAAGUUGCAUUCAGGAUCUACCGGGUUCACAGCUCUACCAGAUCCCUCUUGCUAAAAGCAGUCUUGUGCCAUGUUGCCAUAGAACUUCCCAGUAAUGUGUUUGCACUUCUACUCAUUCCAACAGUACGUGGAAGCUCCAAGUAUUUAUAGAUAAAGAUGUGCUAUUAAAGAAAAACACUGAACUUGGAUCUUUGAGAUUGAAAUUCAUCACGUAUUUUGUGAGUUCUUAAGUCUUUAAAAACAGACAAAAAUUUUAGUAGUAAACUCUCUGCAGAUCUAAGAAUAAUUUCUCAU
ensembl:lncRNA